GAUGAAGAACGUAGCGAAAUGCGAUAAGUAAUGUGAAUUGCAGAAUUCAGUGAAUCAUCGAAUCUUUGAACGCACAUUGCGACCGCCAGCAUUCUGGCGGGCAUGCCUGUUCGAGCGUCAUUUCAACCCUCGAGCCCCCCCGGGGGCCUCGGUGUUGGGGGACGGCACACCAGCCGCCCCCGAAAUGCAGUGGCGACCCCGCCGCAGCCUCCCCUGCGUAGUAGCACACACCUCGCACCGGAGCGCGGAGGCGGUCACGCCGUAAAACGCCCAACUUUCUUAGAGUUGACCUCGGAUCAGGUAGGAAUACCCGCUGAACUUAAGCAUAUCAAUAAGCGGAGGA
rnacentral:misc_RNA from 1 species